rnacentral:rRNA from 1 species
UACAGAGGGGGCAAGCGUUGUUCGGAAUUACUGGGCGUAAAGGGCGCGUAGGCGGCCUUCUAAGUCGAACGUGAAAUCCCUGGGCUCAACCCAGGAACUGCGUCCGAUACUGGAAGGCUUGAAUCCGGGAGAGGGAUGCGGAGUUCCAGGUGUAGCGGUGAAAUGCGUAGAUAUCUGGAGGAACACCGGUGGCGAAGGCGGCAUCCUGGACCGGUAUUGACGCUGAGGCGCGAAAGCCAGGGGAGCAAACGGG